rnacentral:misc_RNA from 1 species
AGACAAAGAAUCCAUUGUAUAAUGUAGGAUUCUUCCUCUAAUAAAGACUCCAAGGAAAAACAAUAGCGGCAAAGUCUGAAUUUUAAAAUUUAGGGUAAAUCAAUAUUAUCUUAGCUCAAAUAUGGGUUAACCUAAAAUAAAAACGGUGAAAUAAACACUCAAGUUGAAUUCAAAUUCAGGUUUCACGGGUGAAUCCUCUAGCCUGUAUUAGUACUACUCCUAUGUUUUUCAUGAAUACACUGUUAAUAUCUUAAUAUCUAUAGAA